rnacentral:rRNA from 1 species
UACAGAGGGGGCAAGCGUUGUUCGGAAUUACUGGGCGUAAAGGGCGCGUAGGCGGCCAACUAAGUCAGACGUGAAAUCCCUCGGCUUAACCGGGGAACUGCAUCUGAUACUGGAUGGCUUGAGUUCGGGAGAGGGAUGCGGAAUUCCAGGUGUAGCGGUGAAAUGCGUAGAUAUCCGGAGGAACACCGGUGGCGAAGGCGGCUUCCUGGACCGACACUGACGCUGAGGCACGAAGGUCAGGGGAGCAAACGGG